rnacentral:rRNA from 1 species
CUGGGCGAGGUGAAGGUAAUAACCGGAUCCGUGCUCGGUCCCGUGCCUUGGCCUCCCGCGGAUCUGCCUCGCUGCGAGGCUUCCGUGACGGCUUGCCGACGCGGUCGUCCUCUUCGGCCGCUAUUUAACGGUCAGCUCAGAACUGGCACGGACUGGGGGAAUCCGACUGUCUAAUUAAAACAAAGCAUUGCGAUGGCCCUAGCGGGUGUUGACGCAAUGUGAUUUCUGCCCAGUGCUCUGAAUGUCAACGUGAAGAAAUUCAAGCAAGCGCGGGUAAACGGCGGGAGUAACUAUGACUCUCUUAAGGGAGAUGUUACUUCCUUUCCACAAAGGGGAUUUGGGGAACCAACUCUGCUACGGCAGAGGGGGAGACCCCCAGUUCCCAAGUGCCUAGUGUCACCUCCUCGUGGUGUGGGCCGGGCCCCGUUGGACGUACUCCAAUGGGUGGCUAACGACACAGGCUAAACUUGCAAUGACUUAGUCAUUGCUAUAUGGCGUUUUUGUGCUCCGGAGUUCGCCACGAAUUAACAACGAGACGGAGUGGUGGCCCAUUUCACAAAUGCCGGUUGAUUCAACAGGUGCCUCGGACACGUGUCGAUUGGGUUCUGCCGGCCCAUCGGGCGUGGGAGUUAGUCUCCGAAAUGGGCGAGGAGAAGCUGAGGAUGAGGCUAGACCCGGGCCAUCUUCGGUACAAAAGCUACGGGUGGAGAGAACCCUUACAGUGGACGCCGCAAUUGACACCCCAAUUCCAUGCGGGGCGUGUUCAGAACAAGGCAAGAACAUCAGUUGCCUAGGGGCAUAUAAGCUGAAUACACACUUUGAGGAUAACCAUGCAGACUUUUCGUCGCAAUGGCGAUGCCUGAGGUGCAGCCGUAUAUUCCCAAAAGUUCAUUCCUGGCGGGUCCAUUAUACCAGGUGUAGGGGUCAUGUGAACGUCCAACAACAUCAGGGACAUAUUCAAUGUACUCAUUGUGACAAAAGCUUCACAUCUAAGCGUGCAUUGAGUGCUCAUGAACUCCGCAAACAUCCUGCGGUGCGGAAUGAGAAAAGAAAGGCCCCAGCGCCCAGAGUUAAACCUAUAGUUGAGAAGUUCAAGAUUUGGACGCUGGAAGAGCUCCGAAUUGUUUUUGAACAACAGAGAUUGAAUGAUGGGGCCAGACAACUCAAUGCUAAAAUCGCGGAGCAUUUACCUAACAAGACACCUAAACAGGUCUCAGACUUGAGACGCAGUGUUGCAUUUAAAGAUCUGGUCGAAGAAGAUCUCGAGUUUGAUUCGGAUGAAUCGGACUCAUCGCUAUCUGGAGAAACCGAUAGUGAGCAGGAACGAGAUCCUGGCAACGCUAGCGUCUCAACGUCUGAAGACCUGGACCCGGAUAACAUCAACCCAUCAAUGGUUAAUGUGGACGAUGAAUUGCCCGAUGAAGACCCUCUGGCCACUUUGUCAACUCACUCGGUGGAACAUCGCAGCCGAGACAUAUCUGAUGAAGACAGUGAUGAUGGAAUCCUUUACCAGUCCUGCCAUGAAGCGUCGGCGACGAACAUAGACUUAGACUCAGAUCAUUCCACAAUGUGGAAAGACCUGAUUGUUAAAGCGGUAAAGGAUAUUGAGAUCGAUGAUGAACGUUGGAAAUCAUGGCAGGACAACGUCGAUAGCACUGUAUCGUCGGAUAUGGGUGAAGAACUCAUCGAGGAACUGUAUGGCCAGAUGAUUGGCAUCAUUCUUGCGGAUGUUGUGGACAGUGGAGAAGGAAAUGGUCCCUCAGGGAAACAAGGAGGUCCUGGCUCAAGCAUCAAGAAGAAGAGAAAACAUCGGAUUAAAAAGCGCAAAAGUUAUGGACGCCGGAAGGCGAACCAUCAGGAGAAGAAGAGGUAUGCUUAUGCGAGAUGUCAGGACCUAUACAACAAAUGUCCACGGAAGCUGGCCGAGGCCGUGGUGAUGAAUGAUCUCAGUAUCACUCAAAAAAGCCAGCUACCACCAAGGGCAGACGUGGAACAUCUUUAUAGACAGCUCUGGCAGGUCAACGGCCCAGAGAAUAUUUCAUUGGGAGUGGAAGAGUCGGUUGAUGAGAUCGAGACCAGUAGGGUGUUUACACCCAUUACUAUUAGGGAUGUGCUCUCCAAAAUUAAAAAGGUCGACAAAGACACUGCCCCGGGUAGUGAUGGUAUCAAAAAAGAGCACAUAUCUCGAGUCUCGUCGGUCGCAGCUCUCACGAAAUUUUAUAACAUCAUUCUACUCAAUGAAUAUUACCCGCUUGAAUGGACCAAGAAUCGUACAACCCUGAUUCCAAAAGCUGAUAAGGAUCCGUCUGACAUCAAGAAUUGGAGACCCCUGACAAUUAGCUCAUUAGUGAGCCGAGUGUUCUCUGGUCUUAUUGACCUGAAAAUGAAGAGCGUUAUCGAACAGAACCCUCGUCAGAAGGGUUUUGUCAGUGAAAAUGGGUGUUUUAACAACACUCUGAUUCUUGGGGAAGCGAUCCGUAAGGCCAAGGAGGAAGGUGGA